CACGGAAUCCCAUCUAAGUGGCUUCCUACUUAAGUGCUCCCUCUAUUUUGCGCAACAGAUGGGAGCCCUCACCACCGAGAGGUCCCAGGUUGCCUUGGUUAUUUCUCUGCUGACUGGGCGGGCGUUGGAGUGGGCUACAGCCAUCUGGGAGAGAAGAGAGGAGGAGCUGGCUUCGUAUGAGGGGUUCAUGGCUCUGUUCAGAGGUAUCUUCGUUCAUCCGCCGUAGGGCAGAGAGGGGAGUGAGCGCCUAUUCCAACUACGGCAGGAAUGACCAGAACGCUGCCGAGUACACGCUCACCUUCCAGACUGUAGCAGCAUCCAGCGGAUGGAAUGAGCCGGCGCUCCGUACGCUAUUCAGAAGAGGACUGCGCGAGAAGGUCCAGACACAACUGGCAUGUCGAGACGACAACCUCUCCUUGGAGCCUGAACAACGCAGACGGAAACAGCUGGGGCUCUGUCCCUAUUGUGGUCAAGGGGGGCACCAGCUUCAGCAAUGUCCGGUACUUCCCAACUCGGGAUCCACGAGAGCAGAGAGACGGUCACGUGAUCAUCCACCUCCUGGGGCAGUUCCUUUGAUAAUUGCCCACCAGGAUCCGGAACCAUCACACAUCAUCACGCCCCUCACCCUCAUCGUGGAGUCCAUUCAUCAGGAAAACAUUCCCUUCAUCACUAGUGCACCAGCUCCUCUGCCUCCCAUGGCUCCAACACCAUAACCCCACCAUCGUAUGGUCGAGGAUGAGAAUCACAGACUGGUCACCUGAAUGCCGGAGGAACUGCUAUCCCGUCCCCUCUCGAGUCAUAGCUCCUGUGGUCUGUGACAUUGAUGUGGACAUUCGCCAGGCUCUGGAAAGGGAAACCGCACCCACUACCUCCCACGGGGAUAAGGGAUCGGCUGCUAACUUGGGCGCACACAGCUAUUGUCGCUGUAAAUCCAGGGACCAUCCGUACUAUACAAUCUCUCUCCAAAAAGUAUUGGUGGCCCACCUUGGCGCAAGAUGUUAUUCAGUACGUCAACUCCUGUUCCGUAUGUGCCCUGGCACGCUCCAGCAGGGAAACUCCUUCCGUGCCUCAGCAUCCCUGGUCGCUGAGGCAGCGUUCCAGCAGGUCUUCUGGCAUUAUGGCCUUCGGGAGAACAUCGUCUCCGACUGUUGCUCCCAAUUUGACAUCACGGACAUGAAGAGCCUUCAUGGAGAAGCUUGAGGUCACGGUCAGCCUCACUUCCGGGUAUAGGCCUCAGUCUAAAGGGCAGGCGGAGAGGAUGAACCAGGAGCUGGGGAGGUUCCUGAGGAGCCACUGCCAGGACCGGCAGGGGGAGUGGGCCCGAUUCCUUCUGUGGGCAGAGUAUGCCCAGAAUUUGUUACGUCACUCCUCCACCAGACUGACUCCAUUCCAGUGUGUUCUGGGUUAUCAGACGGUCCUGGCUCCGUGGACCCGGGCCAGACCGAAGCUCCUGCGGUGGUUUAGGCACACAGAAGAAGUGUGGAGCGAUACCCAUGUGAGACUCCAGCGCGCCGUCCAAUGUCAGGAGUAGGAGGAUCGCCACCGCAGUGAAACUCCCGUGUUCCAUCGUGUUUGGCUCUCUACCAGGAACCUCCCACUCCGCCUGCCCUGCAAGAAGCUGAACCCCGGUUUGUGGGGCCGUUCAAGGUUCUCCGGAGGGUCAACGAGGUGACGUAUGGAUUACAGCUCCCCAGUGACUAUCGUAUCUCACCUUCCUUUCAUGUCUCCCUUCUCAGGCCGGUGGUUCCUGGUCCCCUGGCUCAAACUGUCCCCACGACGGGGACGGACGGAUGGGGGGGUACUGUCACGCCUACUCCCGCUCCCCCUCUCCGGCGCUCGACGUCGCAGAUUUACAAAUCACUGCCUCUGACAACCAUCAUUAUGUACACCUGGCACCAUCGUUACCCCCCCAAAGCGCCUCAUUAUGAGACUCACCUGGACUCCUUCACUGUUUACCUCCCCUAUAUCUGUCGCUCCCUUCGUUCCACUCCCCAGGCAGUAUUGGUUGUGUGUUUCAUGUCCAAACGCUACUCUUGUUUUGUAUCGUUCCAUGUUCAUUGUAUUAUUAAACUCACCACCUGCUUCUCGA
rnacentral:lncRNA from 1 species